AACGCACAUUGCGCCCCUCGGUAUUCCGGGGGGCAUGCCUGUUCGAGCGUCAUUAACACCACUCAAGCCUCGUCUUGGAAUUGGGCGUCUCGCGGGGUCAAACCCGCGCGCCUCAAUGUCUUCGGCCGAGCCGUCCGUCUCUAAGCGUUGUGGAAACAGUUUCGCUUGCGAGCGCGGGCCGGUUUGUCAGCCGAUCGAAGCCUUUCUUUCUAAGGUUGACCUCGGAUCAGGUAGGGAUACCCGCUGAACUUAA
rnacentral:misc_RNA from 1 species